rnacentral:rRNA from 1 species
GAGAUCUGCACUAAAGACGAUGUCUACCCAGCGGGUAUGUCAUCAAUAACUUGCGUGCAUCCUUCUGGGGACACGGUUUCCACUUGAUUGUGGAAUCGCUGACUUCAGAACCUUUACUUUGAGGAAAUGAGAGUGUUUCAAGCAGGUGCCAGCCGUGGAUAUGUUAGCAUGGAAUAACAGUAUCGAACUGUCGUGUAGCUCUUGGUGUGCAGCGACGGUAAAGGUAAAAAGGGACAGUUGGGGGUAUUCGUAUUCAACUGUCAGAGGUGAAAUUCUUGGAUUUGUUGAAGACGGACUACUGCGAAAGCAUUUGCCAAAGAUGUUCUCAUUGAUCAAGAACGAAAGUUAGGUGAUCGAAGACGAUCAGAUACCGUCCUAGUCUUAACCAUAAACUAUGCCAACUGGAGAUGGGGACUGAUCAUUGUGUGACACUUUCUGCAUCUUGAGAGAAAUCAAAGUCUUUGGGUUCCGGGGGGAGUAUGGUCGCAAGGCUGAAACUUAAAGGAAUUGACGGAAGGGCACCACCAGGAGUGGAGCCUGCGGCUUAAU